AAACUUCUUCAUUUUUACUUUUCACAAAAAAAAUCUCUUCUGGAAGCAGCAAAUAAAAUCUUCCCAAAUCACUGGGUGCUGAGUAGAGUGUUAAGACACUAGCCCUUGAAGGAAGAAUGAAUAAGCAAUUCAAAGUGGGCUUUUCUGCCCUAGGCUAAAUCUGAAAUCAUCCAUUUUGCCAGCAGUAUUCUGUCUGCCAACCUACCUGCAAAGAAAGGGGCCAUUUAAAACUUCACAUCCACCCGAGAUGGCUGUUGUACAAAACACACACUCACAGGCUCCCCUCAAAGCCUAGUAAGGAAGAAGGAAGAAGGAAAAAGCAAAGGAAAUAUCUGGCAGCUCCUAGACUUUAGGAAUUCCACAAACAAAGCCAUUGCCAACAUCUAUUUGACAGGAUGUAUAGAGAGUUCAUAAAGUAAGUGUUUAUAGAAAUUCCAAAAUGUUUAAAACUAUCUCUUGAUUUUUGAAGGUCACUGUAAUCUAGUCUAUUGGAGAAUGCUAUUGUAGAGUCUUUGGCUAUUGUUACUUAUACCUGCAUAUAUGAAAUCACCACUCCUAAAAACCACGAAUUAGAAGGCUGAUUUGUUUAAAGCAAUACUGUUGUCCACGAUGGAAGAAGGAUGCUAACUCACAGAGAGAAUGAUGCUGCCUGUGGAACAGAGUCGGAGCUGGCUUUUAUGGAACCUAUUGUCACUUUGAUUAUACACUGUCUAGGACAGGACUGAGGCCCACAUAACACCAAGCAUACCACAAAUACAAAAAGUGGCAUACAGGGAAAAAGAGGUCAAAUUAAACAUCAAGGUAGCUAAAAGGAAAAUUGUGUCCGCUGCUCUAAUAUCACAACGCCAAGGAGAACUGCAGACAUUUGUCCUCGAGUUUCUCAGGCAUGUCUGCACUAUUGUUUCUAAAUGUAUCCACAGGUUGCCAGUAAUGAUGUUUCUGGUGAUCUGGCUCAGAAGGCUGAGCUGAUGAGUGAUCACUUAGAAAUACUGAAUCAGGCAAUGGAAAUUCUGAAUCGGUGGGCUGUAGAGAACGAACUGAGGGCGAGAUGACUCGGGGCCGGAGGGCUAUUAUGGACUAUGGACAAGCUGAAGGCAUGGGAAGCCUGACCAGUAGAAACAGGAAAAUGAACUUGGUGCACAGAGAAAAGCAGGGACGUCAUGAACGAAAGACCACAGACCCUCUGUUCUAGU